UACGAAGGGAGCAAGCGUUGUUCGGAUUUACUGGGCGUAAAGGGCGCGUAGGCGGUUUGAUAAGUUGGAAGUGAAAUCCCCGGGCUUAACUCGGGAAUUGCUUUCAAGACUGUCAGACUCGAGUGUGGAAGAGGUUGGUGGAAUUCCCAGUGUAGAGGUGAAAUUCGUAGAUAUUGGGAAGAACAUCCGUGGCGAAGGCGGCCAACUGGUCCAUAACUGACGCUGAGGCGCGAAAGCGUGGGGAGCAAACAGG
rnacentral:rRNA from 1 species